rnacentral:rRNA from 1 species
UAGGGAAUCUUCGGCAAUGGACGGAAGUCUGACCGAGCAACGCCGCGUGAGUGAAGAAGGUUUUCGGAUCGUAAAGCUCUGUUGUAAGAGAAGAACGAGUGUGAGAGUGGAAAGUUCACACUGUGACGGUAUCUUACCAGAAAGGGACGGCUAACUACGUGCCAGCAGCCGCGGUAAUACGUAGGUCCCGAGCGUUGUCCGGAUUUAUUGGGCGUAAAGCGAGCGCAGGCGGUUAGAUAAGUCUGAAGUUAAAGGCUGUGGCUUAACCAUAGUAGGCUUUGGAAACUGUUUAACUUGAGUGCAAGAGGGGAGAGUGGAAUUCCAUGUGUAGCGGUGAAAUGCGUAGAUAUAUGGAGGAACACCGGUGGCGAAAGCGGCUCUCUGGCUUGUAACUGACGCUGAGGCUCGAAAGCGUGGGGAGCAAACAGGAUUAGAUACCCUGGUAGUCCACGCUGUAAACGAUGAGUGCUAGGUGUUAGACCCUUUCCGGGGUUUAGUGCCGUAGCUAACGCAUUAAGCACUCCGCCUGGGGAGUACGACCGCAAGUG